CCCCGACUAACUCUGUUGGUAGGGCAUGAGACUCAUAAUCUCAGGGUAGUGGAUUCAUGUCCCAUGUCGGGUG
rfam:Lepisosteus oculatus linkage group LG8, whole genome shotgun sequence.